CACGUAGUUAGCCGGGGCUUCUUACUCAGGUACCGUCAACUUCUUCCCUGCUGAUAGAGCUUUACAUACCGAAAUACUUCUUCACUCACGCGGCGUCGCUGCAUCAGGGUUUCCCCCAUUGUGCAAUAUUCCCCACUGCUGCCUCCCGUAGGGGUUUGGCCGUGUCUCAGUCCCAAUGUGGCCGGUCACCCUCUCAGGUCGGCUACUGAUCGUCGUCUUGGUGGGCCGCUACCCCGCAACUAACUAAUCAGACGCGGGUCCAUCUCAUACCACCGGAGUUUUUCACACCGGACCAUGCGGUCCUGUGCGCUUAUGCGGUAUUAGCAGUCAUUUCUAACUGUUAUCCCCCUGUAUGAGGCAGGUUACCCACGCGUUACUCACCCGUCCGCCGCUCAGUCAAUCUAAUCCAUCCGUAAACUUCCUUAACAUUGCUUCGCUCGACUUGCAUGUGUUAGCACGCCGCCAGCGUUCAUCCUGAGCAGGAUCAAACUCU
rnacentral:rRNA from 1 species